CUACAUCCGGCAGCGGGGUGGCCCCUAGCUCCUGCUGCCCCCCCGCCCUUUCUCCCCGCCCGCCCCCGGAGCUCAGCCGAUUUCUGAGGCUCCAACUCUACCCACUCCCUCCCCGGGCCGCCGCCGCCGCGCCUUCCCCCAUUCUUACUCCCUCGAGGAGAGCCACAGGUUGCAAAUCCAACCAACCUCGCAAUCUAUUUUUGCAAAAUCACUCACAAAGAUCUCCCUUUCGCGCCCGCGCCCGCUCCUCCCGCGCCGGGUCCCCUCAGCCACGGCCACAAAGUGCCCUUCUCUCCUCCUGAGUCUUGCACAUAAGGAACGCGGGCUGGGGCUCUGUUCGUCUUUCUCCUCGCCCAAGGUACACAUAGAAAACUUGGAGCCAAAGCAUUUGGCAAGAGCGGAAAAAAAAAGAAUUAAAAGGUAAAAUAAUGAUCAUGAGCAGCGGCGGCGGCAGCGGCACCAGCGGCAACAGCGGCGGCGGCGGCAGUAGCAGCAGCAGCGGCGGCAGCAACAGCAAUAAUCACCUGGUGUCCGGCAUUCCAGAGGAGAUCCAGGUGGUGAUCAAAGAGGAGACCCUGUUGGCAAAGCUCCCUUCUGGCACUGAUGAACUGGAUGUUCUGUUGGAAAAUACUGCAUUUUAAGGAAGUGCAACCUUUUAACUUCUGACAUGGAGUAGGCAGCAUGCCAAGAGAAGGACUGGACUAGUCAUAGAACAAUCCGUUGAGCCGUGGGCACUGAAUAAGAAAUUUACCACAGCAAAUUAGC
rnacentral:lncRNA from 1 species